UUUACUGCUUGAUAGUUAAAACCGCGCGCGCAUCAUUUGCCGGCACUGAUGCUGUAAUCCGAAUCCGAAUUCAAGGCACCCGAGGCGACUUGAAAGAAAGAGUAAUAAACGGGAGAUUUGAACAAGAUGGAACUGACCUCAUUGAUAUCUACGACUAUGACAUUGGAUACAUCAAGGGAGCGGAUAUUAAGCGGAAUAAUGCUGGGUUUUUGCCGGACUGGAAACUUGACAAGAUCACCAUCAAAGUCGCCGGUGCAGAGGACAGCAUCUUCAAUUAUUACGACUGGGUCCCCCAAAACAAGUGGGUUGAAUUACCCC